CCUACGGGAGGCAGCAGUGGGGAAUAUUGGACAAUGGGGGCAACCCUGAUCCAGCCAUGCCGCGUGUGUGAAGAAGGCCCUCGGGUUGUAAAGCACUUUCAGUGAGGAAGAACGCCUGGUGGUUAAUACCCAUCAGGAAAGACAUCACUCACAGAAGAAGCACCGGCUAACUCCGUGCCAGCAGCCGCGGUAAUACGGAGGGUGCGAGCGUUAAUCGGAAUUACUGGGCGUAAAGCGCGCGUAGGUGGCUUGAUAAGCCGGUUGUGAAAGCCCCGGGCUCAACCUGGGAACGGCAUCCGGAACUGUCAAGCUAGAGUGCAGGAGAGGAAGGUAGAAUUCCCGGUGUAGCGGUGAAAUGCGUAGAGCUCGGGAGGAAUACCAGUGGCGAAGGCGGCCUUCUGGACUGACACUGACACUGAGGUGCGAAAGCGUGGGUAGCAAACAGGAUUAGAUACCCUGGUAGUC
rnacentral:rRNA from 1 species